rnacentral:hammerhead_ribozyme from 1 species
AUCCAGCUGACGAGUCCCGAAUAGGACGAAACUCCCUAACCUGGAU